ensembl:lncRNA
ACUUCAGACCCUUUAUUUCUUUUCCUGUCCCUGAUGAACAAUGACAGAGAAAUAUUGCCACACAAUAUAAAAUAUUAAACACCUGUUGUAAAUGUUGAAUUACAUACAAAUAGAGCCUGGCAAGGAUAAUACUCAAUACAUUGUUUACAUUGCUACUGAUUAAUAUUGGAGAUUAAAAUUAAUACUCACAUAAUAUAAACAUCAACAUGCUUUUAGUGUGCAAUUAAGCCGAACGAUUUCAUCAGCACAAAAUGUUCUCAUCCUUGCAAAACAAGGCAAGCUAAAACCCAAGUCGGCCUGAAAAUAUCAACAAAAUCAGAUUCCCUCCUGCAAGUGAUCUGGAUUGUGAAAGAUGCUUUUUCCACUAUGGAAAAUCGUUUUCCCAACCUGGAAGGAGAGCAUGACCAAUGCUGCAGUAUCCUGUGGCCUUCUGCACCAUCAUAUCCAUCUUCACCAAUACAACAGGGCCAUGAAAGCCAGCAGUGUUUUCUUUCCUGUUAGAUGGGAUGAGUUAACACAGUGGUUGGUUGUGAAGCACACUGAGUUGCCCUUUGGCAUGGCUCACCCCUGUUGAAAUCUCAGCUGGAGUGCCAUGGGAGGAUCCAAAGUGGGCAGAGCACCAUAGGUUGAAGGAAAGAUGAUGAAAACAGAACCCAAUGAUGAAGAACUGAAGGAAACGGGCAAAAAGAAAGAGAGGGGAGCCUUUCCAACAGUCCUCAGAGGCAGAAUGUCCCUUCAGGGAAAGGAGUGGAUGGUUCUCCUUGUCUAUGAUGGGUAGGAUGUGAUAUGGUGGAUCAAAGCGCAGCACAUGCGUGUGACACUUGAGGAGACCUCCCUAAUGACAGGAUUAAUUAAGGACAGGUAUGAAUUAGCCUGGGAAGUAAAGGAGUGCAGCACUGGAAACACUUAAGAACAAGUUAGGCAAAUGUGUAGGAACAAUGUAGAAAAACGUCAAUCAUUUCUAGCCAACAGUAAACAUGAUGACAAGUUUAAUGCCAUCAGUUUUCCCCAGUUACCCUCAACCUUGGCUUUUUCCCUUCCCAGGAGCCAAUCCUGAUGGAUUUUAGCACCUGGGAGCUAAGAGGUGCACUGGCUCCCCAGCAAGCUCCCAGAGGCCAAGAUGAGUGCAGACCAAGGCCAGGAGAUGUCUGCAGGGAACCCCCUUUCAGACAUCCCACAACCCAAGGACAGUAUUGCUCCACUUUGAGGACCCAUACCCAGUGCCUCCGCAGGGAAUGAGCGAGGUGUAAAGCCAAGAAGAAGAAAUGUGGGCAUGUAAUCAGGUGGCAGCACGCAUCCUGGUGAUAAAGCACACCAUAUGUCCCAGCUCCGAUGUAAAUCAUCCUCGGAUGACAUCGUUAUGGAGCAUCUGAGAACAUACGCCUGUCCCUUAUGCUUUCUCCCUCCUUCCUACUCACUGCCAAGCAAUAAAUAGCUAAACAUGGCUAACCUCUGACACUGCAUGGAAAGGAUGUGCUGCAUCCCCAGAGCUCAGAGACUGCUCAUCCCACAUCUCCUGGUCACCCUCAAGAGGCAGGCGAAGGCCAUGCAGUGGGUACACAACGCACAGGAGACAUCUCAUGCUCAGUAUAUGGCUCUGGAUACUCUCUGCCAGACUGCAAGGGGUCUGGUGCCCAGGCAUACACAAUUUGCGUUAGCAGCGCAGAUGAUCGACUGAAGAGUGCAUUACAAUAACUCUGGGCUGGGAGGGCUGCAAGGCGUCUGGAAGGCAGACGACUAGCAACGAUCUGAAUAAAUUCACAGUGAUCAUUUGGAAGGAGCUAGACCAAACCUGGAGAAGUAAAGAGCCGCAUUUGGGAUGGAUAACUGCACCAGCCAAACUGGAGAACAGCUUUUGGGGAGGUGUGGAAUCCCAAAUAGAUCCUGAGGCUGAACAAGCAGGAAACACUUCCCUGUAGAUGAUCCCACAAUCCACCUUCUAAACUACUGCUAAAACACCUU